UACGAAGGGGGCUAGCGUUGUUCGGAUUUACUGGGCGUAAAGCGCACGUAGGCGGAUCGUUAAGUCGGGGGUGAAAUCCCCAGGGCUCAACCCUGGAACUGCCUUUGAUACUGACGAUCUGGAGAUCGGGAGAGGUUGGUGGAAUUCCGAGUGUAGAGGUGAAAUUCGUAGAUAUUCGGAGGAACACCAGAAGCGAAGGCGGCCAACUGGCCCGAUACUGACGCUGAGGCGCGAAAGCGUGGGAGCAAACAGG
rnacentral:rRNA from 1 species